GGGAUCCUCCUCAUCCCUUUCCCAAGGAAUGGGGCUCCUCCUGCACCCCCUUCCCGAGGGAUUGGGAUCCCCCUCAUCCCUUUCCCAAGGAUUGGGGCUUCUCCUGCACCCCUUUCUCGAGGGAUUGGGAUCCCUCUCAUCCCUUUCCCAAGGAAUGGGGCUCCUCCUGCCCCCCUUUCCAAGGGAUUGGGAUCCCUCUCAUCCCUUUCCCAAGGAAUGGGGCUCCUCCUGCACCCCCUUCCCGAGGGAUUGGGAUCCCUCUCAUCCCUUUCCCAAGGAAUGGGGCUCCUCCUGCACCCCCUUCCCGAGGGAUUGGGAUCCUCCUCAUCCCUUUCCCAAGGAAUGGGGCUCCUCCUGCACCCCCUUCCAAGGGAUUGGGAUCCUCCUCAUCCCUUUCCCAAGGAAUGGGGCUCCUCCUGCCCCCCUUCCCGAGGGAUUGGGAUCCCUCUCAUCCCUUUCCCAAGGAAUGGGGCUCCUCCUGCACCCCCUUCCCGAGGGAUUGGGAUCCUCCUCAUCCCUUUCCCAAGGAAUGGGGCUCCUCCUGCACCCCUUUCCUGAGGGAUUGGGAUCCUCCUCACUCCUUUCCCAAGGAAUGGGGCUUCUCCUGCACCCCCUUCCUGAGGGAUUGGGAUCCCCCUCAUCCCUUUCCCAAGGGAUUGGGAUCCUCCUCAUCCCUUUCCCAAGGAAUGGGGCUCCUCCUGCACCCCCUUCCCGAGGGAUUGGGAUCCUCCUCAUCCCUUUCCCAAGGAAUGGGGCUCCUCCUGCCCCCCUUCCCGAGGGAUUGGGAUCCCCCUCAUCCCUUUCCCAAGGAUUGGGGCUUCUCCUGCACCCCUUUCCCGAGGGAUUGGGAUCCUCCUCAUCCCUUUCCCAAGGAAUGGGGCUCCUCCUGCACCCCCUUCCCGAGGGAUUGGGAUCCCUCUCAUCCCUUUCCCAAGGGAUUGGGAUCCUCCUCAUCCCUUUCCCAAGGAAUGGGGCUCCUCCUGCCCCCCUUUCCAAGGGAUUGGGAUCCCUCUCAUCCCUUUCCCAAGGAAUGGGGCUCCUCCUGCACCCCCUUCCCGGGGGAUUGGGAUCCUCCUCAUCCCUUUCCCAAGGAAUGGGGCUCCUCCUGCACCCCUUUCCCGAGGGAUUGGGAUCCCUCUCAUCCCUUUCCCAAGGAAUGGGGCUCCUCCUGCACCCCCUUCCAAGGGAUUGGGAUCCUCCUCAUCCCUUUCCCAAGGAAUGGGGCUCCUCCUGCCCCCCUUCCCGAGGGAUUGG
rnacentral:lncRNA from 1 species